rnacentral:rRNA from 1 species
UACGGAGGGUGCGAGCGUUGUCCGGAAUUACUGGGCAUAAAGCGCACGUAGGCGGUUCGUUAAGUCAUGUGUGAAAUCCCUCGGCUCAACCGAGGAAUUGCGCCUGAUACUGGCGGGCUAGAGAUCGAUAGGGGUGAGUGGAACUCCAGGUGGAGCGGUGAAAUGCGUAGAUAUCUGGAGGAACACCGGUGGCGAAAGCGGCUCACUGGAUCGAUACUGACGCUGAGGUGCGAAAGCUAGGGUAGCAAACGGG